rfam:Triticum aestivum genome assembly, contig: Triticum_aestivum_CS42_TGACv1_scaffold_471019_6AL
AAAUUACUCCCUCCGUCCAAAAAAGCUUGUCCCUUAAAUGGAUGUAUCUAGCACUAUGUUAGUAUGAGAUACAUCCAUUUGAUAGACAAGCUUGGGACAUGUUUUUUCGAACGGAGGGAGUACGUG